CAACGAAUAACAAUGCAAACAUAAACACACAACAAUGGUAAAACUCUUUUCUCUCCUAACCUUACGUCUGACACAGUUUCUGUGCGGGUAAAGCUCGGAUAGAAAAAAGUUCACUAUCCACUUUAGCUCGCACUUUUAAGGCGAGCUUUUUUUUCAUUCA
rnacentral:ncRNA from 1 species